rnacentral:tRNA from 1 species
GCUGAGGUAGCCAAGCCAGGACUAAGGCGCAGGCCUUGAGAGCCUGUGGGGCUUUGUCCCCGCGAGGGUUCAAAUCCCUCCCUCAGCG